rnacentral:lncRNA from 1 species
UGGCGCAGCCGCCUCCUGGAGUCCCUAGUGCGCCAGGAGCCUCGCUCCGUUCUGAUUCGUAUGGGCUCCGCAGAGUUCCGCUUGCGUCAGGGGCCUUCGCCCCUAUAGCGGGGCAGCCAGCAGCGCACGGGCGAGUUCAUCUCUAAGUCUCCUUUUUUUUUUAAACGGCCGGCAGAACUUGGACCGGCCUUCCCGAGCCUCCGGAGCCUCCCGGGCCCAGCCAACAGCCUGCCUCACGCUCUUACGAGUCUUGAAAAUCUGCGGGUGUUUGCUUCGCCGAAAAGCCCUGGUUGGGGCUCGCUGCGCCCUGCCAGUGCCCCGGGAAUGCUGACCCCAGCGAGGAGAGGUGAUCCAAGCCUCUGGGCAGCUUUCAGGUGAAAGAAAACAAAACCCUUUGCUCUGUGCUUCGGGCUGUGCUGGGGCUAGACUUCUAGCUUUGAGGCUUAGGGAGGGGCGAGAUGGCAAGGGGGCCGGACCGGGGUGGAGUGGCCGAACUUUGCGGCAGCUGGAGGUAAACCAGCUCAGAGCUCGUGUCACGGAAGGCAGAAGCUUCGGCCUGCUCUGUCCCUCGAGCUCUCUGAGCCCAAUUGAGGCUGGGGAGAGGAUCGCUGGGAAGAGACACCCAGGAGUACCGCUCACUGGCAUCGGACGUUUCGCUUCUCUGUGCUGAGGUGGAUGUAGGGACCAGCUUUCUCCUUGGAACUCGCCUUGCAAUCCCACAAUUUGGGUGUGUGUUUUAAAGAUCAAGUGGUAUCCCUUGUACUCUGGCUUGGACACAGACGAGGAUGUUGCUGAGGGGCUUUGGGGACUGUUGCGUGCACAAGUGUCACGCGUGGAAGGCACGGGGCAAAAAUCUGUUCUUAAAGACACACGUGAUACUGCGCAAGUGUGCUGUUCAGAAACCCAGCCGUUACCUGCAUCUUCUCCUUCCAGCAUAGAUAAUAGCCGAAGUCUGGUGGGGAUCCAGUUACAUCUCCGAAAAUAGAAAACGGACUUAGAGGAAUUCCUUCCGUGCCAGCACAACAUCAGGUUGCUUGGACUUUAAGAGUUCUCCAGAAUGCCACGAGCCCACACUGGCCAGUGGCUCCAGCGGUCCGAAGACCAUUUAUCUACAGUGUGUGCUUGUGCUUCCCACUUUGAGAUGAAGGGAAAGGAGGACUCUGUGUGUGUGUGUGUGUGUGUGUGUGUGUGUGUGUGUGUGUGUGUGUAGUCCAACAUCUCAAAGAUGACUACAGAGAGGUCAGCCAGGCAAACCCGGCCUAACCACCAGGAUACAAGGGAGGAUCAGCACCCUAAUCCCAGGUGGAGAAAGAGUGCCUCUUGUGCGCACAAGGCUGGGAAACACAACUGCAGGGCGCCCCGAGGGAUCACCUUCCAGACCCUGGGUGAGCAGCCAGAGCUAAGAAGACUGGGACGAAUGUGCUUGCCUGUUCGGUGGUACAGCAGUAGGUGGAUAGAGCAGGCACUCUAGGAAGUGGCCGGGUGGACUUUGAUUCACUUCUCACUCCUACCCAGUCCCCUUAGGCAGGCUGGGUAGGGACCCAGGUCUCGACUAUAGUAGGAUUCUGUUCCUCUAGGCCUGUGCGGCCCCGUUGUGCGGCCCCCACAACUUUCACCCGUUUCAUUCUGGCAAGGUUAAGCACCAUCCACUUAGUGGCAGAGGCCUCGGUCCUGAGCCAGGCGGAGGAACUCCGUGUUUCUCUGGCCGGGGUUUUCAGGAUUCCUCAGCGCCUCCAGCUCCUUGUGCCUCUAGAGAAAUGCCUGCCCAUGCCUUGCCGGGGAGCCAGGGACAGAGCAGAAGCCUCUCAGCAAGCUGGUCUAACGCUCCGAAGUCUCGACCGCCGCCUACGUGAGCAAGUCGCGGAUCCCCGGUGAAGAUGCUUUUCUCCCGGGCCGAGCUUCCUGCAGCUGCCGCAGAAACACCGCGGACCGCCACGCGAGGCAGGUACCUUUUGGCUCUGGUGUUUUGCUUGGAGGAAUGAAAGACCAGUGAUCUGUCUGAACAGAAAGAAUGCCAUUGUAUGGACAUGGAAACUCAAGUCCAGAGACAUACAUGGUCAUGCAUGAGGACAAGGUCCCACUGAAUAGUCCUUGCUGGCCUGGAACUCUCUUGUAGACCAGGUUGGCCUUGGCUGAGAUCUGCCUGUUGAGCACCGGUAUUAAAGGCUGACAGAACCCUGUAUUUUAUGCCUAAUCCAAGUGUGAACGCCGGUUUUCUCCUGCACACUGCCACUUUCCUAGUUACAGAAUAGCAACUAGUGCUCCAAGCUUGGCACCAUAUAACUCCCCCGGGGGUGGCAGUCCCUCCCACCCCUGGGGUCCCUCUCUUAGCUCAGGCUACCCUGGAGCUUGAGAUACUCCUCCUUCAGACUCUCAGAUUUCAGAUAUGCGUCGUGAUGCCCCAUCUCAAUGCAUGUUCUUUAUAGAGCUGAGAGGGGCUGUGUUCGUGCAUCUUCACGGUCAACUUGAUUGAAUUUGGAAUCACGUAGGAAACACACUGUGAGCAUGUUUGUGCAUGAGGGCAUCCCACGGACUGGGGGGCCCUGGACUGGAUACAAAGAAGGGAGGAAGGCAUCAGAUGGAAGAUGGGAGUAAGUCAGCCGAGCACCAGCGUUUAUCUCACUGCUUCCUGACUGUGGACACAAUGUGACCAUCUGCUCAUGCUUCUAAUGGCCAUGCUCUUCCUACCAUGGUGGACUCUAUACCCUGAAUCUGCAAGCCCAAAUAUAUAUGUGUAUACACACACACAUACACACACAUAAAUAUAUAUAUAUGUAUAUAUAUACACAUACACAUAUACAUACAUAUACACACAUACACACACACACACAUAUAUAUACAUAUGAAGAUAUGUGUAUAUAUAUAUAUAUAUAUAUAUAUAUAUAUAUAUAUUUAGUUUUUAUUUUUUUAUUUAUGCGUGUGCGUACCCACACAGUGGUGUGUGUAUUUGUCUCUCUGUGUGUAUGUGUGUGUGUGUGGUGUGUGCCACUGUGUGUGAGGAUACCUUAGGAUUCCAGUUAGAGUUCCAGGCAGUUGUGAACUUCCCAGUGUGGGUGCUGGGAACCGAACUUGGGUCCCCUGGAAGAACAAUAAAUUCUCUUACUCUCUGAGCCGUCUCUCCAGGCUUUCUUGUCAGAUACGUUGUUAGCCCAGUAACAGGAAAGUUAACUAACACAGCAGUGUCUAGGUUGUUUCUAAACCUUUGUUUUUAAAAGCAAUACUUCAGUAUACAGUCUUGUAUACUUAAUUUUGUAGACACAUCCAUAUAUUUAAAAGCAACAUGUUCUAGUAGCUGUGUCAUGUGGUGUGUGCAUUUUUAAGUUUGGUAAGUUAUGCAAAGCUGUCUUCCUGGGAAGCACCAGUAGAGGCUCCCAUCAACAGGGAAUUAGAUUCCAGUUGUUUUCUAGAUUUCAGUACACACUUUAAGGUGCAGGAGAGGGAUUCCCCAUGUAGCACAGACUGACCUCAAACUCUUCUGUGCCUUCUGCCUCUGCCUCACGAGCACUGGGAUUGCGGUGUAAGCAGCCUGACCCACUACCUCUUUGCUUUUCAAGGUAGAGAUUUUACAGCUGAGGCCCCAUCUGCAUCUUCCUUUGGUUCCUGUCUGUUUCUCUCCUGGAGUGAUCAUCAUGGCAGAUUUGGUGUUUAACAUUCCUGUACCUGUUAUGACAUGUGUGUAACAUGUGUAUGUACUCCUGGGCAAUAAAUCAAGGUCUGGAUUUCGUAGCUUUCGGAAUGAACUAAACUGCUUCACAAUGAGAAACUUAGAAGAAAGGAAACAAAUAACCACGAUUUGGGGUUGUGAAGGGCAGGCAGGCGAGUGGAAAUUUUUCUUAUGUUUAUGACAAUGACAAUGGGAUUCCAAAUGCCCACUCGGGAGACUGCUGACCUCACGGGUUCUGAAAGGUCGGCCAGAAUGUUCCACCUGAGAAGAAAGGGGAAGAGAGAGGAUGACCAUCAAACACUCCAACUUCCAUCUCACGACUGGUCUCCUCUCUGACGUGUGCUGCAUGGCCAUUUUGCCCAUGGGAGGAAAAGGGAGUUCUGCCCAGCAGAACCCCAGGUAACAGGGCCCCACCAUCUGUAGCUCUCCAAGCCUAUGAUCUAGUGUCUCAGGUGGGAAGAUGCAGAAAGGGGGACUCGAGACUGUGCAAUCUGAGAUGGCCUCACCGGUGAGAGCUGGGGCCUCAGAGGAAGAGUAAAGAAGGCUUUUAGGCGUCUCCCAUUUUCCUGCAGGUGCUAGUGUUCAACUGCAGGGAGACUGUCAGCCACACACCAACAGGGACCAAAGUAGGUACCACGUGCUCUGGGAGGUGUAAGCAAAGGUCUUAUUGCGCCUAUGAUACCCUCAUGUUCAGUAUGGUCUAACAAGGUGUCCAGGUGUCAGGGGCAUAAGUGGAUAUGGCCUCUUGGCUAUCUCAGAAUAUCCAUCUUCUGGGUAUUCUGCAUGCUUACCCCUCCACUGUCUUCUUGAAAUAGGGGUGCAUUCCUUUGACUACCCUCCAUGAACAUAACAAAGUUGAAUUGCUCUUAGAGUCUUCCUAUAAGCCCAUUAAUCAUUGUGUGUGUGUGUGUGUGUGUGUGUGUGUGUGUGUGUGUGUGUGUGUGUGUGUGUGUUGUGUGGCAUACAGCAUGUGUGGAGGUCAGAUGACAACCUUGUAGAAUUGGUUUUCUUCUUUCACCCUUAGUGGGUUCUAGGAAUCAAACAGGUUGCCAGGUUUGCCUGGCAAGCCCCUUUUAUCUGCUGUGCCAUCCGGCUGGCCCACAGCCACUCAGUCUUGCAGAACCUCUUGGAGGCCUCGCUGGCCCAUUCUUGAAUGUGAGCAGCUGGGCCCUCUUUGGGCUCCUGAGCACCUUGCCUGUGCUUACUCCUAUGGGAGAAG